GAUGAAGAACGUAGUGAAAUGCGAUACUUGGUGUGAAUUGCAGAAUCCCGUGAACCAUCGAGUCUUUGAACGCAAGUUGCGCCCGAAGCCAUUAGGCCGAGGGCACGCCUGUCUGGGCGUCACACGUCGUUGCCCCCCCAUCUACUCCUUCGGGAUUGCGGGGGGCGGAUGAUGGCCUCCCGUGCGCCUCGUCGCGCGGUUGGCAUAAAUGCCAAGUCCUCGGCGACGCACGCCACGACAAUCGGUGGUUGCGAAACCUCGGUUGCCCGUCGUGUGCGGUCGUCGCGCAUCGAGGGCUCGAAAAAAUUGUCGGGCUCCGGCUCGGCUUUCAACGCGACCCCAGGUCAGGCGGGGUUACCCGCUGAAUUUAAGCAUAUCAAUAAGCGGAGGA
rnacentral:misc_RNA from 1 species